rnacentral:rRNA from 1 species
UACGUAGGGGGCAAGCGUUGUCCGGAAUUAUUGGGCGUAAAGAGCGUGUAGGCGGUCCGGUAAGUCGGCUGUGAAAGUCCAGGGCUCAACCCUGGGAUGCCGGUGGAUACUGUCGAGCUCGAGUCCGGAAGAGGCGAGUGGAAUUCCUGGUGUAGCGGUGAAAUGCGCAGAUAUCAGGAGGAACACCAAUGGCGAAGGCAGCUCGCUGGGACGUGACUGACGCUGAGACGCGAAAGCUAGGGGAGCGAACAGG